rnacentral:pre_miRNA from 1 species
GUGUGUAUGCAUCUGGGAUCUUGUUAAAAUGCAGAUUCUGAUUCAGCAGGUCUGGGUGAAGCCUGAAAUUCUGCACUUCUAACAAGCUCCCAGGUGAUACCAUU